GAUGAACGCUGGCGGCGUGCCUAAUACAUGCAAGUCGAGCGAACAGACGAGGAGCUUGCUCCUCUGACGUUAGCGGCGGACGGGUGAGUAACACGUGGAUAACCUACCUAUAAGACUGGGAUAACUUCGGGAAACCGGAGCUAAUACCGGAUAAUAUAUUGAACCGCAUGGUUCAAUAGUGAAAGACGGUUUUGCUGUCACUUAUAGAUGGAUCCGCGCCGCAUUAGCUAGUUGGUAAGGUAACGGCUUACCAAGGCGACGAUGCGUAGCCGACCUGAGAGGGUGAUCGGCCACACUGGAACUGAGACACGGUACAGACUCCUACGGGAGGCAGCAGUAGGGAAUCUUCCGCAAUGGGCGAAAGCUUGACGGAGCAAAGCCGCGUGAGUGAUGAAGGUCUUCGGAUCGUAAAACUCUGUUAUUAGGGAAGAACAAAUGUGUAAGUAACUAUGCACGUCUUGACGGUACCUAAUCAGAAAGCCACGGCUAACUACGUG
rnacentral:rRNA from 1 species